rnacentral:lncRNA from 1 species
CCUGGGGCUGGCAGCAGCAGAGGGAAAGCCUUGACACGGCCCGCCUCCUGCCCUGGCCAGUCCCGCAUCCAGCAGCCUGCCCUUGCAAGGUGUCCAAGGAGGUCACUGCAGGACUCAAGGCUCGGCCGAUCCAGUUCCCAGGCAUCUGACCUCUGCAAAGAGACCAGCCCCCAGAGAGCAGCUCCCCGCCCCAGGCCGUACAGCUGCUCGGAGGAGAAGAAGGCAGGUGGCCGUCUCUGAGCCUGGCUGCCAGCCCCGUCCCUCCAGCUCUUCCUGAAUCCAGACUCUGCCGGGAGGCCAGACGAGCAGAGCAGAGGCCGGGGCAGCAGCUGGAGCUUGCAGGAGGGCAGUGCUUGUCACAGCCCCCUCUGCCUCCGCUUCUGCACCUGUGGGCUGAACGGGUCCAGAGUGGAUCUCGGAAGCCCUGACUCUGAACCCAACCGCACUCACCUUGACUCCAGAAUCCGGUGCCAGGACUGGAGGAGUGGACGGGGAAGGCGUGGCCCGGCAGGAGGGAAGCUCCCGCCCCCACCAGCUCCACUGGACGGAGCAGGGGCUGCGGUGCUCAAGGCCUGCCCCCACUCACAUCAGGGCCCAGGCACACACUGUCCAGCUGGGUCCACCCUACGCCUGGUGUCAGAGCCGUGCCACGGUAAAACGAGAGCCCAGUGGACACCAAGCUCCCCACAGGCAAGGAGGCCUGUCUUGGUGUCCACGUCCUGUCCUCCCUGGAGUGAGGACCGGGGCGCAAGGAAGACAUGGAGCCUGCAGACCCCCAUGCCCACCCGCCGAGCUCACCCAGGGGAGAAGAGGAUCAUUCCUCCUCCCCACGGCACCCCCUACCAGGGAAGUGCACUCAGGACAGAACAAAGGAGGAUAAUCAC